CCAAGAUGGCUCCCCUGGCACCAGGUCUCUGGCAUAGACACAGGGAUCUAUGGAGUGAGAUCAACUGGUUGCUGGUGGGGUUUGGUCAACAGGUGUGUCUACCUGUCAAUCCUCACAGCACAGCUGCCCCGCCACCCAUCAAGCCUCCCCAGCCAAGAAGCCUAAAGUUGGGUCCCCUCGCUCACCACUCCAGGGUCAAGCUGGAGCCUGAUUUGGGGUUACCACCCCCCUCCUCCUCCUCCUCAGCCCCACCGGUCAAAGAGGAACCUCUGUCUACGACCCUCUCCCCUCCUCUGCUGCCCAGAAAGAGGAAGUCCAAGCCACAACCUUCGACAUGAUACGACAGAAGGGGGUAGAAUCCCUUUAGAGAUGUAGGGACCUUGUUCUAAUUCUCUCCUUGCCACUUCCCUUGACUGAUUUGAAAUGAGCGGUACUAGAAAUAGGGUGGUAACUCCUACUAGCCCAGUGGUAUUAACUUCUUUAGCGGGGACACCAUUUUUGGACCAAAUUUCUGUGGACCCCAUUUAUUUUGAUGAGAAAUUCUCACAACACCAAAGCUAAUAAACCAAUAAAUGUUCAAUCAAAAUUCUCAAAUGAUCUCAAACAAUAACCGCCACUAAUGUUUUGUUCCCAAAGAACCAGGGCUUCAUGUCACAGACUGAGGAACAAAAGAGAUGAGAACCCAAAGUUGCAUACACUUUUGUACAGUUGGCGACCCUGAUUAACAGCACAGAUGGAAACUACACCUCCAGAGAGCUGCUCUGUUUACUGGACCCAAUCACAUUCCUUAAAAUGUACCCCAGGAUGAACACCACUGCCUCAAUACUCAAAGACAAAAGGCUCCAGAAAGGGGUUCUAAUGAAACACUUUAUUUCCAGAUCCAUAGUUUUACUUCAGCACUUGAAAGACGUCUCAAGGGUUGCAGGUGUGACAUCUUCUUCCAUCUGUCAAGGAGCAAAGACAUUUAAUGAAUCCUUUAGCAAACUGACCAGCAUUUAGAUUAAAGGAAGACUGGCUCCCUAAAAUCAUGUAUAGUACACAAUUCAUCACCAAUAACUACAGAUUUCAAGUAGCUCACCAGUUUGGAACCCCUACUUGCAAGGGAAGACGUAUUCUGUCUCAGCCUGGUCACCUGUAACCACAAGACAGCUUCGUCUCAGUAAAUGAAAACAAGUUGACCAAAUGUUCCUCAGAAGAGGGGCUAGUAGAGUAACUUACUUGGCUGGUAGUAGUCAUAGAUCUUGACCACUGCUGGCUUUAGAUUCUGUACUGGGAGCUCCUGUAUGAUGUCCAGGGUGAUGCGGAAAGGAAGUGAUGUCAGCUGUUGGGAGAAAAACAAACAUACGGGUCAUUAAAUGAUCAAAGCAGAAGUUACUGUACAUCAAAAUAUAUUAUGUUUAAAUGAAGCGCCAUGUGAAUGGUUUUCACCUCACCUCUGUCAAGUACAUUAACACAUGGUCAUCUUUGAUAUCAACACGAGCCACUUGACUUGAACCCCUCAGCUGUGAAGACAAGUCAUUGAUAUUGCAUGAACAAAGAACCGUCAUCCUUAAACAAAAGGACACAGAUGAGGCAAGACCUCCAUGGAUAAAGGGCCCAACAACUCACCCUCCCCAAAGAGUCUGGAUCUGGAGAAAACCCAGAGAGCAUUUUCAAAUCCACUAUAAUCAUAUUGGUGGUGAGCUCCUUUCCAUGAUAUCUGAGAAAGAUGAUUGACAACUGAUUUUCAUAAUCAAAUGCUUGGAUUAUUUUAGCCAUAAAGACCAGAUAAGCAUUCUGACUGAUCCAAGCCGAGGUACCAACCAGAAGGUCAAUAACCUAUGCACAGGUAUAGCACUAAUUCAUUUUGGUCAAACCCAUUCUGCAGAUCACGCUCCAAGAUGACACAUUUCAAAUAAUUCAUACAAAUAUGUCCUUCAUUCUUACAGAGACUGGAGCUUCAGCGUGACUCUGGGUCUCAAAGACGUCCUGUUGCAGUCCACCUCUGGAGUCACCUGGAUACUGAGCGUUGUGCUUCUGGUAGGAGUAGGGACGUUGUAGCGGAGCACCACCUGGGAUAGAGAAGAGGAAGUCAGGGAAACCAUCCUGUCCGAAUACAAACAUUUUAUGAGCCAGAAGAAACAGCUUCCCUGUAAUGUGUAUUAAAGUGCAUCUUGCGCCACAGGACUGGAGGAGAGAUGCAUAUUCACUGACCUGCACUGAGGCACAAGCACUGCCCUGCACUUCAACGCUGUACUUCCCUUCUGUGUCCUGCAGCGCCCUCUCCUGGUACAGAAGCUUGUUGUUUUGGUUCACAUGGAAGAGGCACCGGUCCCCACUGGGAGACCUUACCGUCACUGUGCUGGCUCCUCCUCUACUGAACACCCUGGUGGAGUAGAGAGCCAGGGCCUGGAGGGCCACCACCGUGUCCUAGACAUGCACACCACAGGACAAUCAGUUCAAAAUGAAAAGAGACCAUUUUGAAGGGUUGAUUAUUUUCCUCACAUUGAACAGUUGCUCUAUCAGUGGAAGGGAGCCUCACCAGGUUGGACAUGAAGAACACAUGCCCUGUGGUCUGAUACAAGUCAAUGUUUGUACUAGUGCCCCAUUUCAGACCACUGGUGUUUAGGAAGUAUACCUGGGUGGAAGAGAAGCCUCCGUAGGCGUUCUGCUGCCUCACCAGCCACCUGACGAUGCGGGAGGCGUAGCCCAGGUCAGAGGUAGACCGAGAAGAGGCACUGAGGGACGCCAGCAGAACGUACGAGCUGAUCUCCACCUCCAGGGAGGGUGAGGUCUCCGAGGAGGACUGGGACCAGUGCAGGAGACCCCCUGAGGGUUGAGGAGCACACACACACACAAGAAUAAGGACUAGCUUAUUCAUCCUAAUACAGACUACACAAUACAAAGUUCUGACCUCCCCAAUUCAUUUCCAAAACUAUUUUAGGGUAUUUUUUUUCCCUUAACAAUAAUUUAAAGUUACUAUUGUAUUGGGCCCAUCUGGAGUGCCAGAUGGUUUGCACUUUUAGGAGUACUCCAUUAUCCAGGCAUGCUCAAUCAAGGCAAGACAGCGCUACCAGGAUAUAGCUCACCCUCUUGAAAUGAGAUGGUGUCGAGGUGCUGCAGAAGCCGGGCCCGUGUCUCCACGUCACCUGCCAGGGUGAAGGUGUAGGCCAGCAGAGCAGUAGCGUAGGUGUUGGACAAAUCACUGGUGGAGUUCUUCAGGCAAGACAAGCUGUGGUCCACAACAGGAUCCUAGAGCACAGAAUGACAGCAGCACAUUAAAAGCCAGCCUGGUCCCAGAUCAGUUUGGACUGGGUUCCAUUCAACUUGCUGUUCUGGGGCCUCAGGCAGUUCAAAUUGUUGAUUAGGGAACACUUUCUGCUGAGGAACGGGAUUGUUUGUAAAGGGCAUAAUUUGUGUAUAUGCAGAGGUCCCCUGCUAAAAAUAAACACCAACAGAUCUGGGACCAGACUACAGCACAUUUCCUUUCUCACUUUACAGUAGCAACAUACCUUAAGGGAACAUUUUGACAGUCGCCAUAUGGUUAGUGAGAAAGUCCAUAUUGCAAAUAUACGGUCCCUUACUAGACG
ensembl:lncRNA